UCCAACCUUACAUGUUGGAACCAGAGUGUGACCCAGAGCCAGAGGAGAGCGAAGACGACUUUAAGUUGGUAUGCCCCCUUUAAACUGCAUCUUGACUUGGGCAUCAGAAGAGGAAACCACUGUUCCCCAGGAUAACGGCACACGGCUCACGGCACUGAGGUGUUCGGAGGGCAGUGUAUCCCCGACCAUUAUCAGGAAAGGAGCCUCUCUGGUGGGGAUUAGCAUAAUCCCAGGUGACACCAUCAUCAUCUGUACAAAUAUGUAAGAAAUCACUAUACAUAGUCUCCACUCGAUUUAUAAAAUUCCUGACAAAUAUCUGUUGUGCUUUUCUUUUUAAUCUUUGACAAUGACUUAUCUACAUGAAUAUGUUUCCAUGUCCAUGUUGGCCACAAUACUGUGUGGUAUA